AGCGAACGCUGGCGGCAGGCCUAACACAUGCAAGUCGAACGGAUCCUUCGGGAUUAGUGGCGGACGGGUGAGUAACACGUGGGAACGUGCCCUUUGGUUCGGAACAACUCAGGGAAACUUGAGCUAAUACCGGAUGUGCCCUUCGGGGGAAAGAUUUAUCGCCAUUGGAGCGGCCCGCGUCUGAUUAGCUAGUUGGUGAGGUAACGGCCCACCAAGGCGACGAUCAGUAGCUGGUCUGAGAGGAUGAUCAGCCACACUGGGACUGAGACACGGCCCAGACCCCUACGGGGGGCAGGAGGGGGGAAUUUUGCGAAAGGGGGGAAAGCCUGACGCAGCCAUGCCGGGGGAAUGAUGAAGGUUUUAGGAUUGUAAAUUUCUUUCAGGGGGGACGAAAAUGACGGUACCCGCAGAAGAAGCUCCGGCUAACUUCGU
rnacentral:rRNA from 1 species